CCAGACUUUGACACAGGCUGUUUGUGUCUUCCCCUACCAUCCACCCAUGCAGCCUCAGAACCUGAAAGGAUGACGUCAGUGACCGCCACUUAAUCUUCCCUAAUACUACCUCAGCUGCUCUCUGUCCCUCCAUAGCACUGUGUCUUGAAGUCCCUUAAGUGAGGAAUGCCCCUCUCUGACAUGGUGUUUCAACCAGCGGCUCCUCACUGUCUCCUGAAGAAAGACAGGCCACUCUGGUGAGGCCUCCAGAUUCCAAGACAGGAUUCCCAGAACUGUAUUCUCAUCCCAGUUUUUGCUAGGCGUUCUCUUGGCCUGCAACGCUUGGCUCCUCGGUGCCUCUGUACCCUACCUCAGCCCAUCCCACAUUCACCCACCUAUUCAGGAAAUGUUUACUGGGUGCACCAGGCACACCAUGGAGCAGACCGGGGACAUGAUGGACAGGAAACUUAUCACAUAGUAGAGGAAUAACAAUAAAGAAGUGGGCAAUGGUGUGCUAGGCUGUCAAAGGACUUGAGGACAACAGAACACGGAAGCUGCUGUGCUGGGCAGGACAAAAACAGCAUUGGUUUGUUGAGCACCAUGUAUGGUGUUUACUUUCAUAACCAAAAUGAAGUUAGUUGAAUUUCCUGCCUUCUCUUUCUACCCACGUCCAUCGAGGAGCUUUUUUUGCUGUCCCUCUGAUCCAUCUCUUCCAGCCACAUCUCCAUGUGUGCUCUGUUGGUCUCCCUGAUCUGGCUGCAGAUAGAACUGGACACUAUCCACCUGUGAAAUGUCACACCUUGGAGGUUCCUUGGAGCACACCAAGUAGAGUACAGACAUCCAAAAAGAACCCUGCUGGGUCUUUCAACCACCAGCUGAGCUCUCUGAAAACACCAGUUUCCUGGUCUCACCCCUGCUGAGUGAGAUCAGUAGGGAACUGGGAGAAGCAGACCCUCCAGUGUGGUCUGAUAGCCCUGCCUCCCUUUACUUAGUGAAGCUUGGUCUAACUGUUUCAAAUUGCUCCAGAGCUUCCUCUAGAGACAGCUUGGAGGUGAUACACCAUGCUAGACCCAGGCUCCCAAUUUCAUCUCUUCUGAUUUGUUUCAUGUGGUGCCUGCACUGGAAAUGUCUUUCUAUUAGAAGGAAAGAGUCUACAUACUACCUGGAAGGAGGAAGGCAGAGACAGGUGUGACCACAACAAAAGAAGAUAUUAAAAGGGGGAGCAACAGAUUCAGAUAGACACGCCAGAUAAAAUACGAAUGUCCUCCUAGCAGCAUCCGGAGAGAUGUCUGUAAACGAAAACAACACCGCAAUGAUACUUCUCGCCUACUGCUAGGCAGAAAUAACCAACUGUGGAUAACAGAAGCCAGUAGGACACGCAGCAACGGGAGCUGUCACAAGGCACCCAUGGGAGUGUUAGUCAGUUCAAAUGCUUUGGAAGAGAAGAGGCCAUCACUCCCUGAAGCUUUGGAAACCGUGCUUUCCACUGCCUUAAUUACAGUGACGCUCCGGCUGCCUUAGCAAGAAUAAGAACAAAACACAGCUUUGAGGUAAAGAAGUUUGUUUU
rnacentral:lncRNA from 1 species